rnacentral:lncRNA from 1 species
AUCCAAUCAGAAUAUGUAGUCCAGGAACGGCAUUUGCAUAACCUCGGUAUAUAAAGCAUGGUGAGGUCGCAUCAGGUCAUUUCAGGCUCUGCUGUGUCAAGUCGGGGAGCGGCUCUUUGCUCAGCUUAGAGAACUGGAAGAGGCCGCAACCUUCUGCCUGCUGGAGGCUGGAGGAUGGAUGGAGCCUGGAGCCUGGGACACUACCUUGCUGUGGUUGGUGGUGGCGACAGAGCAGUAAGAGGGUGGCCGGCAGCAGGAGCUUGUCCUGCUGGGCUGGAGGACUAGGAGAAGGAAGAGGCACCACCACAUGCUGGAGGCUGAAGCCUGGAGUCUGUGCCACCAUGGCUCGCCUCGCUGUGGUUGGUGGUGACGCUGGAGACUGCAGCUGGGCCACAGUGGUAGAAAUGUGAUGGGGCCCCAGUUCCUGGCCAGCUUUUGCCAGAAGGAGAGGCUGGACUUUGGAAGGUGGGUGUGAGUGCCUUCAAUGAAACGGAUCCCUGCCACCUAGUCACCAGCGUGACAAGAUGAGGCUCUAACGGUUCCACUCCCUGAGUCCUGUCUUGGGCUUUUCUGGCUUUGCCUGCCCAACUGCUCCAAGCCAGGCUGAAGGAGGAGAAGGAGGAGUCACCUGUGGUACGGUCGAGCAGAUGAUGUGGCUCUGCAGCUUGCCUCAUGUGUUUGGUGGUGGUGAUGGAGACCGCAGCUCAACUGGAGCAGUAGGAGGGCACCCACGGGGACCAGGCGGUUUUUGGGGAACAGGUGGCGUUUGAUUGUAAGAGUAAGUUCCUUAGAGGUUGGAAACACUCUCUUUACGGAAUCUGCAAAUGGACAUUUCAGAGCCUAUUGAGGCCUACACUGAAAAACCAAAUAUCCUGCAAUAAAAACUACAAAUAAGCUACCUGUGAAAAUGUUUUGUGAGGUUUGGAUUCAUCUCACAGAUUUAACCCUUUGUUUUGAUUCAGCAGGUUGGAAAUACUCUUGUUGUAGAAUCUAUGAAGGGACAUUUCAGAGCUCAUUGAGGCCUAUAGAGAAAAAUCAAAUAUCCUGCGAUAAAAACUGUAAAGAAGCUACCUCUGAAAAUACUUUGUGAUGUGUGAUUUUAUCUCAGAAGUUGAACUUUUCAUUUGAUUCUGCAGGUUGGAAACUCUUUUUUUGUAGAAUCUACAAGGAGACAUUUCAUAGCCCAUUGAGGCCUAUAGUGAAAAAUCGAAUAUCCCUUGAUAAAGACUAGAAACAACCUAUCUGUAAAAAUGCUUUGUGAUGUGUAGAUUCAUUUUACAAAUUUAAACCUUUGUUUUGCUUCAUCAGGUUGGAAACUCUUUGAAUCUACAAAGGGACAAUUCAGGGCCCAUUGAGGCCUUUAGUGAAAAACCAAUUACCCUCAGUAAAAACUAGAUAUAAGCUAUGGGUGAAAAUGCUUUGUGAUGUGUGGAUUCAUCUCACAAGUUAAACCUUUGUUUUGAUUCAGCAGGUUGGAAACACUCUUUUAAUAGAGUUUAUGAGGGAAAAUUUCAGAGCCCAUUGAAGCCUCUUAAUAAAAACUGAUAAGAAAUAGAAACAAGCUAUCUGUGAAAAUGCUUUGUGAUGUGUGGGUUCAUCUCACAGAGUUAAACCUUUGUUUUGAUUCAGCAGGUUGUAAAGAUUCUUUUUGUAAAAUCUAUGAAGGAACACUGAAGGCCUACAGAGAAACAUCGAAUAUUCUGCAAUAAAAACUAGAAACAAGCUAUUUGUGAAAAAGCUUUGCUAUAAAUGGAUCUUUUUCACAGAGUUAAAUAUUUGUUAUUAUACACAGGUUGGAAACACAUAUUUAGUAGAAUCUAAGAGGAGUCUUUUUUGAGUCCAUUAAGGCCUGUGGUGAAAAACUCAAUAUCCCACAAUUAAAACUAGAAACAGGCUAUCUGUAAAUAUGCUUUGCAAUAUAUGUUUGCAUCUCACAGAGUUAAAUUUUGGGUUUUAUUCAGCAGGCUGGAGACACUUAUUUUUUACAGUCUACUUCGUGACAGUCUACUUCGUGAGGCCUAAAGUGAAAAACCGAGUAUCUUGUGAUAAAACUACAAUCAAUCUGUGAAAAUGCUUUGCAAUGUGUGGAUUCAUCUCAAUGAGUUAAAUGUUUGUUUUGAUUCAGCAGGUUAGAAAUACUCUCUUCGUAGAAUCUAUGAAGGAACAUUUCGGAGCCCUUUGAGGCUUAUAGUGAAAAGCUGAAUAUCCUGUGAUAAAAACUAGAAACAAACUGUCUGUGAAAAUGCUUUGUGAUGUGUGGAUUCAUCUCACAGAGUUAAACCUUUGCUUUUAUAGAGCAGUUUGGAAACAAUUUUUUAGUACAAUCUAAGGGGACAUUAUUGAGCCCAUUCAUUCCUAUAGUGAAAAACAAAAUAUCCUGUCAUAAAAACUAAAACAAACUAUCUGUAAAAAUGUUUUGCAAUGUGUGGAUUCAUCUCAAAGAGUUAAACCUCUGUUUUGAUUCAGCAGGUUGGAAACACUCUUUUUGUAGAAUCUGCAAAGCAACAUUUCAGACCCCAUUCAGGCCUAUAGUGAAAAAUCAAAUAUCCCGCAAUAAAAACUAGAAGCAAGCUAUCCAUGAAAAUGCUUUGUGAUGUGUGGAUUUAUCUCACUGAGUUAAACGUUUGUUUUGAUUCAGCAGCAAAUGUCCUGCAAUAAAAACUACAAAGAAGCUAUGACUAAAAAUGCUUUGUGAUGUGUGACUUUAUCUCACAGAGUUUAACCUUUCUUGUCAUUCAGCAGGUUGGAAACACUCUUUUUCUACAAUCUACAAAGGUACAUUUUGGAGCAAAUUGAGGGUUAUACUGAAAAAUCGAUUAUCUCACAAUACAAACUAGGAAAAAGUUAUCCGUGAAAAUGCUUCGCAAUGUGUGAAUCCAUCUCACAAAUUUAAACCUUUGUGUUCAUUCAGCAGGUUAGGAAUACUUUUUUUGUAGAAUAUACAAAGGGACAUUUGACACCUUUGGAAGCCUAUAGUAAAAAAGCAAUUAUUUCUCAAUAAAAAAUUUGUCUCUGAAAAUGCUUUGUGAUAUGUGGAUUCUUUUCACAGAGUAAAACGUAUGUUUUUAUCCCACAGGUUGGAAACACUGUUGUUGUUGAAUAUGCGAAGGGACAUUUCAGAGCUAAUUGAGGCCUAUAGUGAAAAACCGAAUAUCCCAUGAUAAAAACUAUAAAGAAGCUAUCUCUGAAAAUAUUUUGUGAUGUGUGAUUUUCAUCUCACAAGUUGAACUUUUGUUUUUAUUCAGCAGCAGGCCAAAAUUACUCUUUUGGUAAAAUCUACGAAGGAACAUUUUGGAGCCCAUUGAUGCCUGAGGUAAAAAACUGAAAACUGAAUAUCUUGUGAUAAAAACUAGAAACAAGCUUUCUGUGAAAAUGCUUUACAAUGCAUCAUUUUAUGUCACAGAGUUAAAUCUUUGUUUUGAUUCAGCUGGUUAAAAACACUCUUGUAGAAACUAUGAGAGGACAUUUCAGAACAUGUUGAAGUCUAUAGUGAAUAACAAAAUAUCCCGCAAUAAAAACUAGAAGCAAGCUAUCUAUGAAAAUGCUUUGUGAUGUGUGCAUUUAUCUUGCAGAUCUAAACAUUGUUUUGAUUCAUCAGGUGAGAAACACCCUUUUGAUGCAAUGUACAAACGGACGUUUCAGAGCCCACUGAGCCCCAUAGUCAUAAAACCAAAUAUCCUGCUAUAAAACUGGAAACGAGCUAUCUGUGAAAAUGUUUUGUGAUGUGUGGAUUCAUCUCAUAUAGUUAACCCUUUAUUUUGAUUCAGCAGGAUGAAAACACUCUUUGUGUAAAACCUACAAAAGGGAGGUUGGAAACACUCUUAUUGUGAAAUUUACGAAGGGACAUUUUGGAGCCCACUGAAGCCUAUGUGAAAAACCAAAUAUCUCACCAUUAAAACUAGCUAAACAAACUACCCAUGAAAAUGCUUGGCCAUAUGUGGAAUAAUUUUACAGAGUUAAAUCUUUGUUUUUAUUCAGCAAGUUGGAAAUGCUCUCUUGUACAAUCUACGAGGGGACAUUUUGGAGCCCAUUGAGGCCUAUAGUAAAAAAUCAAGUGUCCCGUAAUAAAAACUACAAAGAAUCUAUGUCUGAAAAUGUUCUGUAAUGUAUGAUUUUAUCUCACAGAGUUAAACUGUUGUUUUGUUUCAGCAGGUUGGAAACUCUCUUUUGGUAGAAUCUUCAAAGAGACAUUUGAGAGCCCAUUGAGGCUUGGAGUGAAAAACCAAAUAUCCAGCAAUAAAAACUAGAAACAAGCAAUCUGCAAAAAUGCUUUGUGAUGUGUUCAUUUAUUUUGCAGAGUUAAAACUUCAUUUUGAUUCAACAGGUUAAAAACACUCUUGUAGAAUAUAGGAAGUGACAUUUCUAAGCCCAUUGAGGCCUAUACUGAAAAACUGAAUAUCUCACAACAAAAACUAGAAAAAAAUCUAUCUGUGAAAAUACUUUGCAAUGUGAGGAUUUAUCUCACAGAGGUAAGCCUUUGUAUUAAUACAGCAGGCUGGAAACACUCUUUUUGUAAAAUCUACAAAGGGACAUUUCAUAGACCAUUGAGGCCUACAGUGAAAGAUCAAAUAUUUUGUGAUUAAAACUAGAAAAAAGCUAUCUGUUAAAAUGCUUUGCAAUGUUUGGAUUCAUUUUACAGAGUUAAGCCUUUGUUUGGAUUCAGCAGGUUGAAAACACUCUUUUUGUAGAAUCAACAUAGGGACAUUUCAGAGCACAUUGAGGCCUACGGUGAAAAACCCAACAUCCCAUGAUAAAAACUAGAUUCAAGCUAUCUGUAAACAUGCUAUGCAAUGUCUGGAUUAGCCCAAAAAAGUUAAACCUUUAAUUUGAUUCAGCAAGUAGGAAACACUGUUCUUGUAGAAUCUAAGAAGGGACACUUCAGAGCCCAUUUAGGCCUAGAGUGAAAACCCACUUAUCCUGCGAUAAAAACUAGAAACAAGCUAUCUGUGAAAAUCUUUUCUGAUGUGGGCAUUCAUCUCAAAGAGUUAAACCUUUCUUUUGAUUCAGCAGGUUGGAAACACUCUUUUAGUAGAAUCUACAGAGGGACAGUUUGGAACCUAUUUAGACCCAUAGUCAAAAAAGCAAAUAUCCCACAAUAAAAACUAGUAACAAGCUAUCUGUGAAAAUGCUUUGCAAUGUGGGGAUUCAUCUCACAGAGUCAAACCUUUGUUUGGAUUCAGCAGGAUGAAAACACACUUUUUGUAAAUCUACAAAGAGGACUUUGGAAAAACUCUUUUUAUGAAUCUACAAAGGGACAUUUUGGAGCCCAUUCAGGUCUACAGUAGAAAACCAAAUAUUCCAGGAUAAAAACUAAAAACAAGCUAUCUGUGAAAAUGCUUCUUGAUGUGUGCAUUCACCAAAUAUAGGUAAACUUUUUUUUUGAUUCAGCAGGUUGGAAACCCUCUUUUUAUAGAAUCUACAAAGGGGCAUUUCGAAGCCCAUUGAGGCCUAUAGUGAAAAAUUGAACAUUCAACAAUAAAAACUAGUAACAAGCUAUAUUUGAAAUUGCUUUGUGAUGUGUGGGUUCAUCUCACUGUUACAUCAUCAUUUUGAUUUAGCAGGUUGGAAAUGCUCUUUUGUAGAAUCUAUGAAGGAACAUUUGGAAUCGCAUUAAAGCCUAUAGAGAAAAACUGAAUAUUCUGCAAUAAAAACUAGGAACGAGGUAUCUGUGAAAAUGCUCUUCGAUGUGUGCAUUCAUCUCACAGAGAUAAACAUUUCUUUUGAGUCAUCAGAUUGGAAACUCUUU